GUUGGUAUGUUCAGGUCUGACACAAUCUUUCCCUUUAGCAGAGCCGUGAAAUUUUGUUUCAAACCCUUGAGGAGCGGCACAAGUCAAAUGCCAGAUGGCUCCCUCUAGUGAGUACAGAGGUAGUAUACUUUUAAGUUCCGACGUAUCCAAGAGGGCUGCUGAAAGCUCUGUGUAGUGUCCUGCAUGUCAUCCGGUCUCAAGAUUUUGCUUUUGUCGUAAAAAUGGGCAAAACCAUAAUUUUCAUCUGUAGACCGUUUUUCAGAGUGGUGGCAACUAGAGAUCAGGGAUCCAUGAGUUUGUAGCCCGUUGUUUAUUUAGUAGCAGCUCACUUGUCUUUUAUACUGGAUAUUGCAAUAUGCUGUGUCUGUGGUGAUCUCCUUCCCUGCCCCUAGCAACCUCUUCAGAUGUUGCCAGAGGCACACCUGUGAUACUGAAGGAGGGCUUGACUCUUAGAUGCCAAAUCCAUGCUUCGCAACCUCCCAGUAAUUGUAUUGGUUAGCUGUGCCAGAAGAUCUUGUGCCAACCAUCUGUUUUUCAGUCUCUAGCGGGUUAUAAAGUGAAGUUCUGUGUUGCACACAACAAAGUAAAUGUAUGCAGCUUGGCAAGACAGUAGACAGGGUCUUAAAUGUGUAAUUUGUUUCUGUGGAGUUGCAGUAGUCCUUCAGGCACUUUGCAGACUUCAGUGUUUUGCUUCAGAAUAUCUCUGCAGGGAAAGUACCCUUUUGUGUCUUACAGGUUUCUGAUCUGAGACAUAAGGGGGUUUAUGCUGUGUGACAAGCCUGUGGUGGGUGAGGAGUUGAGCUCCCAGUCUCCUCAAUCCUAGCUCUGACAAGUCUUUCUUACUUGUGCUAAUGUACUUCAUGACACAGCGAGUGUAAGAAAGACACGCAAGUACCCUCCUCACAUGUGGUUUAGGAAGAUGAGCAGUAUGUGCAGGAUAUAGAUCAGGUCUUUUAAACCAUUUUUAAAAGAUAAUCAUAAAUACCUUAGGAACACAGUAGGGGGCUAGUGGAAUGAAUCCUCUUCAUGCAGGACUGAUGUGAUUUGUUUCAUUUAAUACUUUUCAAAGCAGUUGUAGACAUCUUUGCUUAAGUCUUUCACUAGUCUGAUGGAAGUGCUGUACCAUUUUACAACUAGUGAACAGUUGAGUAAAGACUGUGUUUAAAACUUUCCUUCCCAGGAGCACCUUUGCCUGAAUUCCUGAGGGUGUUUCUCAGUGAUAACAUGACUGUGUGGAAUGGCUUUUCAUGUAAAUCCCUUUGCAGAAUAGAGGGUCUUGGUUGUUCAUUGCACCUUUGUGCUAUGCUAAAUUUGGCAGAAACUAAUUCAAGAGUGCGUAACCUGAGUUAAAUGUAGGGGGAGGGGGUUUUAUUUAUUUGUUCUUCACAUUUGAAGGCCAAGUAUUAAUUAUUCCUGGUGUAGGAUUUUAUUGCUUUGAAGGUGCUACAGCAGACAUUUGCUUUUGGAAAACCUUUCUUGACUGUUCAGCAAGAGCGGCCAUUCUAGCUAAAUGUAUCUCUCAAAAGCUUUUUAUGUUCCCCAGUGCUCAUCUCUGACUACAUAAAACCUGUUUUUACUUUGUUCUGUUACUCUCCACCAAAGUCUGUACAAAGCCAAUUACUUCUGCGCUGACAGGAAAAUCCACCACUGUUUCAGAAUCAUAAAACUGACUAGGUUGGAAAAGACCUUUAAGAUCAUCAAGUCCAACCCAGGACUGCCAAGUCCACCACUAAACCAUAUCACUGAGGGCCUCAUCUGCACGGUUUUUGAACACUUCCAGGGAUGGUGAUUCCACUACUUCCCUGGUAAGCCUGUUCCAAUACCGAUUACCCUCCGUGUGAAGAAACUGUUCCUGAUACCCAACCUAAACCUCCCCUGGCACAGUUUGAGGCCCUUAACUCUUGUCCUGUUGCUUGUUACCUGGGAGAAGUGACUGGCCCCAACCUCACUACAACCUCCUUUCAGGUAGUUGUAGAAAGCGAUAGAGAGCACUUCAGCACCUCAAUGUCUUUCCUGUAGUAGGGGCACAGAACUGAACGCUGAAUGAGGGGCUGAGUCAGGAUUUCAAAUGCCAAGUUGCACAGGGAGAAACUGAAAUACCUUCCAUCAGAAAAUAGUGUGAAUUGAGCAUUACUGAGUUAAUGACCUGGAAAGCAUCUUUCUCAAGUGCCUUGAGGAUAAGUGUGCCAUUUAUUGAUCCUUCUUGGACUGGUAUUUUUCAAUUAGGACAAUAUUGAACCACAACUUAAAUUAUUUCAGCACCCCGUCAGCUUGUCAUGCAGCCACAAGAUGUCAUGAGAAGCUGUGCCUCGUUGCAGGAGGAGUGAGCUUUGUGCUUUGUGAGCCCUCACAAGGGGUCAAGUCGAGCAGUAGUUCUGGAACCAGGUGUUCUGGAAACAUCUCAGUUCUCCAUACAACUAUUGCAGUGUCUCAAUUUCUUCAAUUAACCCUUUCAUAUUAGGGUUAUGCUUGAAACAAGUGGCUAGUAACUGCUUGAACUGUCUUCUAACAUGCCCUGAAGCAGCAGAUGUAGGAGUGCCUUAAGGUUCCCAAGAUGUAGCAUGCCCUGUAACAUUAAGCACUGUACAACUGAAAGGUUCUCUAUGGUAACCAUGACUGUGCAUGCUGGAAGAGGGCUGGUUUGUGGUUUGGGUUUUGCAGGGGUUUGGUGGUUUUUUUUUCCGCUCUGAAUUUACUCCAGUAAGAGGAGAAAUGUGCUUCCAGGAACUGGAAAGGACUUUCUCCCAUUAAAUCCAGGAAUGUCCCAGAGUCUGCACUUUUGCUUCUGCUUUUAAAUUCCCAGCUGAAUUUCCUCUUUGAAAGCUACAUAUUAGCUUGAAAAAGCUAUCAAGCAGCAACUUCGCAUAAAGUAAACACUUAAUAUGCUAGUGUGCCCGCAGAGUUCUUGAAAGGUCUAGUGGGAGCAGUAUUGACUCCUGAGUUGUAUCUCGGCGUGAGUCAGGGAAGCUGAGCAAAACAGUGUCACAAAAAGAAACCACAGCUUUCUGGUAGGAGGGAUUAAAAAUCCCUCAGGGUAAGUGUCCAAAAUCAGUUGCAAGACAGUAUUUUUCUGAGAAUCCAAGGCUGUGAGGACCAACAAAUAUUACUUGGUCUACAGAGUUGGGCAGAGAAAGACCUUGGUUCAGGAGAGCACAGAAAGUUGGCAGUAUGUGAGAAGUGAGGGAAAGAUUCCAGCUAAUUUGUGUUAAUCCAGUCAUUUGGAUUCUAGACGCAAAAUGGGUCACCAAGGCAAAGUUAAUAAAACAUUAGAAGAGGCCCAGCAGCCUGAAUAAAUACAUGGUGUUCAUCAGCAGUCGCUGGAUAUGGUGUUGAUUCUGUGUUUGAUCAUGUAUUUUCCCCUAAAGAUAUUUAAUGGAACUAAAACUGGUGUGAGACUGA